rnacentral:rRNA from 1 species
UAGAGUUUGAUCCUGGCUCAGGAUCAACGCUGGCGGCGUGCAUGAGACAUGCAAGUCGAACGGACACCACGGGGCUUGCUCUGUGGUGUUAGUGGCGGACGGCUGAGUAACGCGUAGGUGACCUGCCCCGAAGUGGGGAAUAACUGCCCGAAAGGGUGGCUAAUACCGCAUGUGGUGAUGCGUUCGAUCGCAUCAGUAAAGCCGCAAGGCGCUUCGGGAGGGGCCUGCGUCCGAUUAGCUCGUUGGUGGGGUAACGGCUCACCAAGGCGACGAUCGGUAGGUGGUCUGAGAGGACGAUCACCCAGACUGGGACUGAGACACGGCCCAGACUCCUACGGGAGGCAGCAGUCGGGAAUUUUGCGCAAUGGACGAAAGUCUGACGCAGCAACGCCGCGUGAGGGAUGACGGCCUUCGGGUUGUAAACCUCUUUUGUCAGGGAAGAUGAUGACGGUACCUGGCGAGUAAGCCACGGCUAACUACGUGCCACCCGCCGCGGUAAUACA